UGUAGAUGUCCCUUCGACAGAGAGUCAGCCAGGUUCCAUUACCAAAAUUUAUAUGAACAAUUGGUUCAGUUCAGUCUAAUCACUAGCUUCUAUGGUUAAUUAUUUUCCCUGGAAUUUGUACUUCAAACAAGGGAUAAUUUGUACUGCAAAUUCAGAUUCUAUAUCACACGCUUGGAUUCAUGAGAAGAAAUAGAACUCAUGUUUUCAUAUCAACAAACUGGUGCAACUUUUACCCACCAUCCAUCAA
rnacentral:misc_RNA from 1 species